rnacentral:rRNA from 1 species
AGAGUUUGAUCAUGGCUCAGAUUGAACGCUGGCGGCAGGCCUAACACAUGCAAGUCGAGCGGUAGCACAGAGAGCUUGCUCUCGGGUGACGAGCGGCGGACGGGUGAGUAAUGUCUGGGAAACUGCCUGAUGGAGGGGGAUAACUACUGGAAACGGUAGCUAAUACCGCAUAAUGUCGCAAGACCAAAGUGGGGGACCUUCGGGCCUCAUGCCAUCAGAUGUGCCCAGAUGGGAUUAGCUAGUAGGUGGGGUAAUGGCUCACCUAGGCGACGAUCCCUAGCUGGUCUGAGAGGAUGACCAGCCACACUGGAACUGAGACACGGUCCAGACUCCUACGGGAGGCAGCAGUGGGGAAUAUUGCACAAUGGGCGCAAGCCUGAUGCAGCCAUGCCGCGUGUAUGAAGAAGGCCUUCGGGUUGUAAAGUACUUUCAGCGAGGAGGAAGGCAUUAAGGUUAAUAACCUUGGUGAUUGACGUUACUCGCAGAAGAAGCACCGGCUAACUCCGUGCCAGCAGCCGCGGUAAUACGGAGGGUGCAAGCGUUAAUCGGAAUUACUGGGCGUAAAGCGCACGCAGGCGGUUUGUUAAGUCAGAUGUGAAAUCCCCGGGCUCAACCUGGGAACUGCAUUUGAAACUGGCAAGCUUGAGUCUUGUAGAGGGGGGUAGAAUUCCAGGUGUAGCGGUGAAAUGCGUAGAGAUCUGGAGGAAUACCGGUGGCGAAGGCGGCCCCCUGGACAAAGACUGACGCUCAGGUGCGAAAGCGUGGGGAGCAAACAGGAUUAGAUACCCUGGUAGUCCACGCUGUAAACGAUGUCGACUUGGAGGUUGUUCCCUUGAGGAGUGGCUUCCGGAGCUAACGCGUUAAGUCGACCGCCUGGGGAGUACGGCCGCAAGGUUAAAACUCAAAUGAAUUGACGGGGGCCCGCACAAGCGGUGGAGCAUGUGGUUUAAUUCGAUGCAACGCGAAGAACCUUACCUACUCUUGACAUCCAGAGAACUUAGCAGAGAUGCUUUGGUGCCUUCGGGAACUCUGAGACAGGUGCUGCAUGGCUGUCGUCAGCUCGUGUUGUGAAAUGUUGGGUUAAGUCCCGCAACGAGCGCAACCCUUAUCCUUUGUUGCCAGCGGUCCGGCCGGGAACUCAAAGGAGACUGCCAGUGAUAAACUGGAGGAAGGUGGGGAUGACGUCAAGUCAUCAUGGCCCUUACGAGUAGGGCUACACACGUGCUACAAUGGCAUAUACAAAGAGAAGCGACCUCGCGAGAGCAAGCGGACCUCAUAAAGUAUGUCGUAGUCCGGAUUGGAGUCUGCAACUCGACUCCAUGAAGUCGGAAUCGCUAGUAAUCGUAGAUCAGAAUGCUACGGUGAAUACGUUCCCGGGCCUUGUACACACCGCCCGUCACACCAUGGGAGUGGGUUGCAAAAGAAGUAGGUAGCUUAACCUUCGGGAGGGCGCUUACCACUUUGUGAUUCAUGACUGGGGUGAAGUCGUAACAAGGUAACCGUAGGGGAACCUGCGGUUGGAUCACCU